rnacentral:rRNA from 1 species
AUGUAAUGUAAUUCCUACAGUGUUAAUGAUUCAAAUCCCAUUAUAACUAUGCAAUUAGGCAUGCUUGGGCUAGAGUAGUACUUGGAUGGGUGACUUCCCAAGAAGUCCUAGCAUUUUACAUG